rnacentral:rRNA from 1 species
UACGAAGGGGGCUAGCGUUGUUCGGAUUCAUUGGGCGUAAAGGGUGCGUAGGCGGCGCGGUAAGUCGGGUGUGAAAUCUCGGAGCUUAACUCCGAAACUGCAUUCGAUACUGCCGUGCUUGAGGACUGGAGAGGAGACUGGAAUUUACGGUGUAGCGGUGAAAUGCGUAGACAUCGUAAGGAAGACCAGUGGCGAAGGCGGGUCUCUGGACAGUUCCUGACGCUGAGGCACGAAGGCCAGGGGAGCAAACGGG